AACUACUUCGAGGCUAGGGUUUUUACACUUGAGAAAUUAAAAUGCUUUGACUAAGUCAACCGGGCCUCGUCCGCUGCGAAAAUCCAUCAGAAAAGCUGUAAAAAUCGGCCCGGAGCACUUCUGGAGGGCGCGGCCGCGCUAAACUAGCGCAGGCGCGCUAGUGGCAGCAGUAGGUAGCGCGGGCGCGCUAGAGGUUAGCGCGGGCGCGCUACUGUCUGCCACUGGCAGCCCUAUUC
rnacentral:lncRNA from 1 species